CUCAGGGCUCCCGGGAACCAGGAGACAUGCUGCCCCGGAAGCUGA
rnacentral:snoRNA from 14 species